UACAGAGGGUGCGAGCGUUGUUCGGAAUUAUUGGGCGUAAAGGGCGCGUAGGCGGUGCGGUAAGUCACCUGUGAAAUCUCCUGGCUCAACUGGGAGCUUGCAGGCGAAACUGCCGUGCUGGAGUGUGGGAGAGGUGCGUGGAAUUCCCGGUGUAGCUGUGAAAUGCGUAGAUAUCGGGAGGAACACCUGUGGCGAAAGCGACUACCUGGCCUGUUCUUGACGCUGAGGCGCGAAAGCUAGGGGAGCAAACGGG
rnacentral:rRNA from 1 species